CCAUGAAACGACGCCGUUUUGAUUGGCGCUUAUACCUGCUUCGAUUCCAGCCUGAAGCAUUUUUUAUGUGUCUUUUUUUUCAUUUUAAUUUCCAGGCCAUGAAACGACGCCGUUUUGAUUGGCGCUUAUACCUGCUUCGAUUCCAGCCUGAAGCAUUUUUUCAAAUUAAUUUUCAUUUCUUCAUUUCCCUCCAAAUAUUAUGUGCAUGAUCAUUUUU
rnacentral:lncRNA from 1 species